rnacentral:rRNA from 1 species
CCAUUCAGUUGGGCACGUCUAAGGAGACUGCCGGUGUUAAACCGGAGGAAGGUGGGGAUGACGUCAAGUCCUCAUGGCCCUUAUAUCCAGGGCUACACACGUGCUACAAUGGCCGGUACAAAGGGUCGCAAUACCGCGAGGUGGAGCUAAUCCCAAAAAGCCGGUCUCAGUUCGGAUUGGAGUCUGCAACUCGACUCCAUGAAGUCGGAAUCGCUAGUAAUCGCGUAUCAGCGUGACGCGGUGAAUACGUUCCCGGGCCUU